UACGUAGGUGGCAAGCGUUGUCCGGAAUUAUUGGGCGUAAAGCGCGCGCAGGCGGUCCUUUAAGUCUGAUGUGAAAGCCCACGGCUCAACCGUGGAGGGUCAUUGGAAACUGGAGGACUUGAGUACAGAAGAGGAAAGCGGAAUUCCACGUGUAGCGGUGAAAUGCGUAGAGAUGUGGAGGAACACCAGUGGCGAAGGCAGGUCUCUGGGCUGACACUGACGCUCAUGCACGAAAGCGUGGGGAGCAAACAGG
rnacentral:rRNA from 1 species